GCGGCAUGGAUUAGGCAUGCAAGUCGAGCGAGAAGGGUUUUGAAGCUUGCUUUAGAACCCGGACAGCGGCGAAAGGGAGAGUAACGCGUAGUUAUGUGCCCUAGGGUCCGGAAUAGCCACGGGAAACUGUGGGUAAUGCCGGAUAACAUCCCCGGAUCAAAGGUGUGAUUCCGCCCUAGGAGCAGACUGCGUCCUACUAGCUAGUUGGUGGGGUAAUGGCCCACCAAGGCAAUGAGGGGUAGCGGGUGUGAGAGCAUGACCCGUCUCACUGGGACUGAGACACUGCCCAGACACCUACGGGUGGCUGCAGUCGAGAAUCUUCGGCAAUGGGCGAAAGCCUGACCGAGCGAUGCCGCGUGCGGGAUGAAGGCCCUCGGGUUGUAAACCGCUGUCGUAGGGGAGGAAGGUUCCGUGAAGAGCGGAAUUUGACCUAUCCUAGGAGGAAGUACGGGCUAAGUUCGUGCCAGCAGCCGCAGUAAAAC
rnacentral:rRNA from 1 species